UGAACGCCCCGAAUUGCGGCCGCAAUCACAUACUACUGGAGCUUCAACGACUAAACAAUAGCAACCAUCCUGAGUGAAUUAGCUCGCUACUGAGAAUAAUUUAUAUAGGAAUCAAGGUGGCAGCACUAGUGAAAAUCCUAGCAUCUGCAAAACUGAAACAAAUCCGGAGAUCCAACCCACGGUGAAAUCAGAAGUCUGAUUUAGCUGAAGCCAGGAGCUGAAGGUGAUGAUGAUAUCUCUCAGUGAAGAGGAGAGCUAGACUACGCAGCACAAGCAAGGUACUAUAUAUAUAUUUUUUUUUAUAUAUGAAUCCUAUCAUAUAUAAUGGCCAAUUUGGGUGCAGCCAGAUUAAUUUCUCAGAGAUCUAAUUAUAUUUAAACAGAUUAAUGUUGCAGGAAUGUUUUAUCUUUUCUGUUUCUAACAGAACAGUCUGAGAUGGUGGGUGUCCAAGUCCCCAUUCUGGUGCUUUUUGAGGUGGAAUGACCGUCUGCUAUUUCUGCCACUCGUUCAAAUGAUUCUACACACAAACAGACAAUCAUAUCAUCACACUUGCACACAAUCUCUGCCUCUCUUCCUCCCUCUCUGGCCAGCUGGUGUUUAUCGUCCCUGAGAAAUGGAGACGACAUGGUUGUCCUGUCCUGUGAGGGAACAAAAUACUUUUCCCUCUCUGAGAUAUACUGAUAUACUCACUGAUACACACCUUUACAUCACAUUGUAUCCCCUAUGAGAUGAGAGCAUGCAGCCUCCAGGCAUUGUCUGGUCUUAUAACCCAAACCAGAGCUUAAACACCUCGGAGAACAGAAGGGAAAGAUGAGAGACAAGUGAAGAGAUGGAGAGGUAAUGGGAAGUUGAAUGUGAGAUUAGAGGGAUGAAGGGGAGGAUGAGUAGGAGUUAAGGAGUUAGUCGAAUAGAGGGAUGUAAUAUAAUGACAAGCAGAGGUGGAGUGUGCAGAGGAAGCUCUUGGUAUUCAGGGUUGAUCCUGUCUUCAGUGCAUGAAGACUGAUCUGUUUCUGAUUUCAGCUGCAUAAUGGAAUUGUCUUGGCAAUGACAGGGGAGUACAAACUGAUCCGGGACCAGGCUAGCCUGCACGGGAGGUCACGGUGGACUGGAGGGCUGCGUGAUGUUGUGACUCAGUGCUCUGUUUGAGUGAGCGUUGGUCUAAAUCACAAAGACUGAUAGUCACUGCACUCACACACACACACACACACCGAAACGCAUGCAUUUGCUGUGACACAAAAUGUAAUCCUCCUUGUCUGUCAAACACUCAGUCACUUCAGUCUGUGAUGGACCUACACUCAUACUCUUCUGUGACACACACACACACACACACAAUAUAGCACAUUCUCAUGCUCUGCCAGAAAGAUUUAGUGAGAAACUGUAUGUUUCCCCUCUGGUCUCUGAUAGCUUCCAGUUCAGUAGAUUCUGGUUGGUAAUGAGGUUGGCUACACCAGCUUCCUGGUUACCUCUUCCUGUUGUGCAACCGUACUGUAUGGUUUACAGUAGACUUUCCUUAUAUUAACCUCUGACACUCUCUGUCUCAGAUCUGUAAUACUGAGUGAAGGGCCGUGCGAGAGGGACUUAUAAAAGAGAACCCACCUUGCUUGGUUGUCAUAGUGUGCAGAGGAGAGGAGUGCUCCUCAGUAGUAGCAGCAGCCAUGGGCCUGGUAGCUUACCUGAAGACCCAGUUUGUUCUGCAGCUCCUCCUGGGUUUUGUAUUCGUGGUGAGCGGCCUCCUCAUCAACUUCAUCCAGUUGUUGACAUGCGUCCUGUGGCCCAUCGACAAGCAGCUGUACCGCAGGAUCAACACCAGGCUCUCCUACUCCCUCUGGAGCCAGCUGGUGAUGCUGCUGGAGUGGUGGUCGGGAACACAGUGCACCCUCUACACAGAUCAGGCCACGGUGGACAAGUUCGGCAAGGAACACGUCAUCAUCAUCCUCAACCACAACUAUGAGAUUGACUUCCUGUGCGGCUGGACUAUCUGUGAGCGAUACGGAGUCCUAGGGAGUUCCAAGGUGCUGGCCAAACACGAGCUGCUGAAGGUGCCUCUGAUUGGCUGGACCUGGUAUUUCCUGGAGAUCGUGUUCUGUAAGAGGAAGUGGGAGGAGGACCGAGAGACCGUGUUCAGAGGGCUAGAAAGACUCAGAGACUACCCUGAGUUUAUGUGGUUCCUGCUGUACUGUGAAGGCACUCGCUUCACAGAGAAGAAGCACCAGAUCAGUAUGGAAGUGGCAGAGAGUAAAGGCCUGCCCAAGCUCAAAUACCACCUGCUGCCCAGAACCAAAGGCUUCACCACUGCACUCAAAUGCCUCCAGGGCACAGUGUCUGCUGUGUAUGACGUCACACUGAACUUUAAAGACCACCAAGUCCCCACUCUGCUGGGCAUCAUCAACGGCAAGAAAUACAUGGCAGAUAUGAGAAUCAGGCGGUUCCCUGUAGAGGAGAUCCCAGAAGAUGAGAAGGAGUGUGCCAACUGGCUUCAUAAACUCUACCAGGAGAAGGAUGCUUUGCAGGAGCACUACCAUAAAGAGGGCACUUUCCCGGGUCCAACAAUCACCCCUCCUCGCCGGUUGUGGACGCUACUCAACUUCCUGUUCUGGGCGGCCCUGCUGCUCUCACCCCUCAUCAACUUCGCCUGCGGGGUGGUGGUCAGUGGCUCCCCCCUCCUCAUCCUCGGCUUCAGCCUCUUCCUCAUUGUAGCCUCCAUAGCCAUCCGGCGCCUGAUCGGUGUCACCGAGGUAAAGAAGACAGGCUCCAGUUACGGCGACGAGGGGUCCAAGAAACAGAACUAGACCUCUACCUCCCCCCUGUUGGUUGCUGUACAGUCCUCCUGCGGUUCCCCUCCCUCUAUUCUGUUGUCCUGCAGGUGCAGUCAGCACGCCGGGGAGGGGGCCAAACCAUUACACCUAGAGAUAAAACAGAUCUGGAGGGGGCCAAACCAUUACACAUAGAGAUAAAACAGAUAGAUCUGGAUGAGACCAAACCAUUACACCUAGAGAUAAAACAGAUCUGGAGGGGGCCAAACCAUUACACAUAGAGAUAAAACAGAUAGAUCUGGAUGAGACCAAACCAUUACACCUAGAGAUAAAACAGAUCUGGAGGGGGCCAAACCAUUACACAUAGAGAUAAAACAGAUAGAUCUGGAUGAGACCAAACCAUUACACCUAGAGAUAAAACAGAUCUGGAGGGGGCCAAACCAUUACACAUAGAGAUAAAACAGAUAGAUCUGGAUGAGACCAAACCAUUACACCUAGAGAUAAAACAGAUCUGGAUGAGACCAAACCAUUACACCUAGAGAUAAAACGUAUAGAUCUGGAGGGGGCCAAACCAUUACACCUAGAGAUAAAACAGAUAGAUCUGUAGGGUGCCAAACCGUUACACCUAGAGAUACCACAUAUAGAUCUGGAGGGAGCCAAACCAUUACACCUAGAAAUAAAAUGGAUAGAUCUAGAGGGGGCCAAACCAUUACAGAUAGAUAAAACAGAUCUGUAGGGGACCAAAACAUUACACCUAGAGAUAAAACAGAGAGAUCUGGAGAAAGAAAGAGAGAGAGCGUUAUGACCAUGGAAGGAGUGUGGAGAGAGAGACAGGAAGACUGUCUGGAGCCAGCUCUCUGUGGAGUAGGAGAGGGCAGAAGGAGAGGCUAUGACCAGGCUCUCUUUGCCACCCUUAACAACUCUCUCGGAUGUCCCCGGCCACGCCCACUCUUCACCUCCUGACCACUCGGGUUCUCACCACCGGACAACUAGUCAGCUCACCACACAGAAACAAGCCCACUUCCUGUUCUGAGCUAACCACUUCCUUUUCCUGUCACAUGCUCUGGUCCUUUUUUUACUCGUGUUCACCUCUUGUAACAACAUACAGUACAUCUCCCCCUCGUUCUACCAAAUGACUGGACUUCAAAUGGGAACCCGUUUCUUGAGGCUCAGCCUGGUUUCCACUUUGCUUUUAACCUCUAAGAAAAAUGUGUUUAUUUUUUCACUGUGCUUCCUAUCUCUGCUGUGGGAGCCCGCCACCUUUUAUAUUUGUUGUCCAGAUUCAAAAUCAAAUAUAAUGCGGCGUUUCCAUGAUUCUACAAGUCUAUGCAUUCUGGUUACUGUUGAAUAUUACCACGGCAACUAUUUUCAUCUGGGCUAUGUACAACAGCAGAGAUGGGACUUCCAGUGUUUUAAAUACUGAGGCAGGUUUCUGUGUGUUAAGACUACAGUAAGGGCUCUGUAUUCAUUAACUACACACUAAUUAACUACUUACUAACAUUUUGUUAUCUUUGACUGUUCCAACGCCCUCAAGUUCUGACUAAUGAUUAUUUUAUGUAGGUUUUCUUCCGCAUUCUCCCAUGCUUGUAGAUGUCUGCACACACAUUAACAUGCCAUUUUAUGACUCGCCAGUUCCUGAGUGAACUUCUCUUCUUCUGUUGUCUCCGCUCUGUUUUACACAACUCAACCACCCCUGGUGUCUUUACACAGCUCAACCACCCCCGGUGUCUUUACACAGCUCAACCACCCCCGGUGUCUUUACACAGCUCAACCACCCCUGGUGUCUUUACACAGCUCAACCACCCCUGGUGUCUUUACACAACUCAACCACCCCCGGUGUCUUUACACAGCUCAACCACCCCCGGUGUCUUUACACAGCUCAACCACCCCGGUGUCUUUACACAGCUCAACCACCCCCGGUGUCUUUACACAGCUCAACCACCCCCGGUGUCUUUACACAGCUCAACCACCCCCGGUGUCUUUACACAGCUCAACCACCCCUGGUGUCUUUACACAGCUCAACCACCCCCGGUGUUUAUACACAGCUCAACCACCCCCGGUGUCUUUACACAGCUCAACCACCCCUGGUGUCUUUACACAGCUCAACCACCCCCGGUGUUUAUACACAGCUCAACCACCCCCGGUGUCUUUACACAGCUCAACCACCCCCGGUGUCUAUACACAGCUCAACCACCCCCGGUGUCUUUACACAGCUCAACCACCCCGGUGUCUUUACACAGCUCAACCACCCCCGGUGUCUUUACACAGCUCAACCACCCCCGGUGUCUUUACACAGCUCAACCACCCCCGGUGUCUAUACACAGCUCAACCACCCCCGGUGUCUAUACACAACUCAACCACUCCCGGUGUCUUUACACAACUCAACCACUCCAGGUGUCUAUACACAACUCAACCACCCUCCAUGUCAGUGUGACUCUUAUAAUAACCAAUUCCAGUCAAAACAGACUAUAACCCCACCUACCCUUUUAUAGUUGAAAUGCACUAGCUACUGAUUCUCUCCAGCUGUAGACUCUAGUAAUGUUUGCCUCUGCAAGGGUGACUGUUUGAUUGGUUACUAAGUUCUCAUCGGCUAAGGUGAUUGUUUGAUCGGUUACACCGUUCCUAUCUCUUAGGCUAGGGUGACUUGAUUGGUUACUAAGUUCCCGUCCUACCUCAUCUCUUAAGCAAGGGUGAUUUGAUUGGUUACUAAAUUCCAUUCCUACCUCAUCUCUUCCUCUACUAAAGUCUUGGUGCACUGUGGGUAGUUGAAUAUUCUCCAUGUUAGUUCUGGCAUGUUUAUUAGGCCCUGGUGUAUGUUGACAUGGUGCAGGAGCAAAAUGAUUUUAUUGAAUUGCAAUUACAUUUGUCAUUUAACAGAAGCUCUAAUCCAGAGCAAUUUACAAUACCGUCCCUAACAGUACUGUUCUACAUCUCAGUAGCCAGCGAUAUGUUACUAAAAGCUGCUUCCAGGAAGGAGGUUUUUGCCCUGCUGUUUAUUUCUUGCUGCUAUUCCCUGCAUGUUACAGCACCACCCUGAGCUCAGGCACUGCAACUGCAUUUGCUUUCCAACACUCCUGCACUUGCUUUGAACACAUCGCACAUUGUUUGUCUAUUUACACUCUGAUGAGUGUAAAUGGGAGGGUGCUGACUUUCCUUUACAAACUGGGAUUGGCAUGAAAGCAGGUGUCAGAUUACAGGUGACUGGUAUUUCCUGAGUGCAACAUGCAAACAUAGCAGCAACACGUCGUCGUCAUCAUCCCUUGUCUGGAGAAGACACCCAGUCUGUUACAACAUCACCAGCUUUUCACCGUAUGUUGUUCAUGUCCUUUGUUCUUCUUUUAUUUUAUUGUGUCGUUUAAAUGUUUUUUUUUUUAACCAGGACAGAUUCAUGCAAGCCUUAACAGAGUGCAGCUUCAUUAUAUUGUGUGAACUUAGGCAGACCACGCUUCCUCAGCCCCCUUAUAGUACAUUUGGAUUGGCAAGUGGUGUGGGAGACUGAAUUAGUGAGGUUCACAUACAUCUGCCCUCUGUUAAAAAAAGAAAAAUAACUCCUGUUUAUUUGUCAAUAUAGAGUCCUGGAAACAAGUAUUUUUUGAGAGGGGUUAGUUGAUAAGGCAUAGUUAGUGUUAAGGCUGAAGAGCUGGGGGUUCCAUGAGAAUCUGCUUAUUGUUACAGUAAUAGUUAAGAGGGCCCCAUUUUUAGUAAUAGACUCCGUGUCCCAUGAUGCUUCUGUGUUCGAUACCUCUGUUACAACUCCUGUUAAUUCUCUCAACUGUCAAUACAACUGCUUCAGGAGCUUAAGAGAGAUCUGGGCCCAUAUCCACAGAGUCUAACAGUAGGAGUGCUGAUCUAGGAUCUUUCCAUAUAUUCUUAUUAAUUCUGAUCUAAAAGGCUAAACUGAUCCUAUAUCAGCCCUCUGGCUCUGAGAGGCUUUGUGGGUACGAGCCCUGUUCUACGUUGUGGGGCAUAAGUUUUAUCUUCAGUGUCCUUCCCAUACUGUAAUUCCAAACUACAGUACCCAUCAGGCACUGGUGCAGUCCCACCACUCCCUCAGGUAUCUAUCAGUCAGCUGUGUUUACACAGGCAGCCCAAUUCUGAUAUUUUUUUCACUAGUCGGUCUUUUGACCAAUCGGAUCAGCUCUGAAACAGAUUUGAUGUGAAAAGGCCAAUUAGUGGAGAAACGACCCAAAUUGGGCUGCCUGUGUAAACGCAGCCUAUGGUGUAUCUAUUCCAGAGCAACAGGACAAAUGCAGAGAAGUUAACACUAUGACAUUUUCUAACACUGGAGGUUUGUACUGCAAAAAAUCCCACUAAUUUCUGAUUUUCUUAUUUUUGUUAAAGUUCUCGAAACUAAAGAAACAAGUAACGUUCAACACUGAAAUUUGAACCUUUUUUGGCAUGAAAGUUGUUAAAGUUGCAUCUCGACUCAACUUACAUUUGUAUUUUUUCUAAGUCUAUUUGUAUCUGUUGUUUCUUUAAGUAAACAAUUAAGAAUAUUAAAGGAUUUAAUCAGGCAA